rnacentral:misc_RNA from 1 species
UCUCGCUUGUUUAUUGUUUUGCUUCACAGGCCAGCCAAGCCUCCGUUUCAGCGUUCUUUUACUCUUCGCGUUCGCACCGGUUGCCGGCCAUCUCGUACAACGCGGCCUGCUCGCCACCACCACCACCACCACCCCCCUCUCUCUGAACCUUUCCCCUUCCCUCACCGCAUUUCCUGCCUGCUCUUCAGCCCCCUCCACUACGCUCCUCUUUCUCGCAGCCUCCCCGCUUAAUCGCUCUCCGUCGCAUCACAAAAGAAACGAACACAGAACAAAGAAUCCAAGAAACAGGUGAAGGCUCGCAUAGUCACGCACACAAACCAAACAAGAAGGCUGAAAGGGAAAGACAGCAAAAGGAGAUUUCCGCCUGGCUGAUUGGACUCCACCGCGCCUCCUCACCCACCCACCACCCACCCCUUCCUUGCGUGUUUGUUCUGCCUUUAACACUUUUUUUUACUUCCUGCCUCUUGCGCAUAUAUAUUACUGUCUACAUAUACAUAUAUAUAUAUAUAUAUAUAUCCUGCCUUUUCUCUCUUUGCCGUUGUUGAUGUGUGCUGGGUGAUCGCAUGCCUAUCGCUGGCUGUGUGCUUGUGUGCAUUUUUUCUUAUUACUGCUCGUCUGUUUUCUCUCCACUUCCGCACGCAUUCUGUGGUGCUGCGUAUUUCGUACGAAGUCUGUCGCCUCCUGUCGCCCCUGCCCUCCUCUCCCACCACCGCUAAUCCCUUUUCGGCCGCUGUCGCACACCACUAUGCCCAUCUUCGAUAACAAAAAUGAUGAAAAGGUGCUCAAAGUCAUGAAGGCGGGGGACCUACUGCAUUACGACUAUCGCCCCGCUGAUAAGCAUUGCGGCAGUAGAGCCAAGCUUAGUGACACGUUCCGCGUGGUGCAGUGGAAUAUCGAGCGCGGCGUCAAGCUGGAUGCUAUUAUCGCGGACUUGAAGGCGCUUCACGCUGACUUCAUUGUGCUGCAGGAGCUCGACAUCAACUGUCGCCGCUCCAACUACGCAAAUGUGCCAAAAGAAAUAGCCAAGGCCCUAGAAGCCGAGCUUUACUUUGCGUGCGAAUUCCAGGAGCUUGACUCAAGCCUACGGGCCCCUGUGAACGCCGUCGGUCCGCGUUCGCAGCCGGCGCUGGAGCCGGAGACGCCACCAAACUCUGGGAGAAGCGGGAGCAGCACCCGCAAGCCGGCCAAGAACCACCACUUCCACGGCAACGCAAUCCUCAGUCGCCAUGCCACGCUGCGCGAGCCAACCGUGAUUCCGCUCACCAGCCCCUUCGUGUGGGACGAGGCGGGUGAUUGGUACAAAGAGCCGCGCCUAGGGUUCCGCAGUGCCCUGCGUGUCCGCAUUGACGCGGUAGACCGCACCUCGGUCCACAUGGCGCCACUGUACAUCUACUGCUGCCAUUUUGAAGUGUUUUGCGGGGGCCUCGCGCGUGUGAGGCAGCUCGCGGACUGCAUGGCGGACAUGCAGCGUAUCGCACACGUGUCAACAGCGUUGAACGGGGCGCGUUCGCGGCAUCCAGCCUUCCUCCUUGCCGGGGACUUAAACACCAUCGCACACGGUAUUGUGCGCUUAAGUCGGCGCUACGCAACCGAUCGACUCCGCUGGCUCAGCUUCGGCGAGGCGGAGGCGUGCUGGCUGCAGCGCAAGGUGUUAGGGCGCAACAUGCAGUUCCUGCAGGCCGGCUGCUGCCCUCUGUCGUACCACUUCCUGGCAGGCGCCGCCUCGCGUGUGCAUCAGUUCUUGUGCAACAACUCACUGGUAUGGCAGUACGUUUACGGCUUCACAAGAUCGGAACAGGAUCGCAUGUCAAAUGUGCACCUCUGUCUGUACGACCCGUCUGACAAGUUCGCCUCCAUUACGCUAGACAACCCAGCCUACUACGGCUUCGCGCGUGGAAAGCUUGACUGGAUACUGCUGAGCAAUCUGCAGCCGCGCCCAUUCCGCACCGCCCGCAACGGGGCUGAGCCGAUCGACAUCGCUCUCUUGGAGAGGAACGGCAGCAUCCUCACCACCUCCUACUCCGCCCGCUACCUCCACUCCAUCUACGACGGCUCACACGACAAGGCGUGCGAGGCGUCGGUGCAGUCUAAUGAAGCAUCAGCGGAGUGCGUGCCGCAGGACGGCUACCUUCUCUUCAACGAAAACUACACCGCCAGCGAUCACCGCGGGCUCGUCAUGACAGUGCGACAAAACAAUGGGCGACCACAAGACGUCUACCCGUCAAAAGGCGCCCCGUACACAGCCACCUGGACAGUGGUCGGCUUCUUCAUCCUGACACGUGCUGUGCCCGUCGUCGCAGUCGCGCUGGGACUCUAUCACACACACACGAUGUUGCACUGAGACAACGGCGUCGCACAUUUGUCCUCGAUGGUGGUGGAGCACCGCCGUGCAUUAUUUUUUGUUGUUUCCCUCCCCCCUCCCCCGCCCCCACAUGACACAUGUGCGGCCGUGACUCAAAUGCUCCUCAGUCACCAGAUGCGUAGCUAGGAUGUGCGCGUGCACGUAUAUCUGCGCAGCUGCGGAAAC